UGUUACUACAUACUGUGUGCAUACUGUUACUGCAUACUGUUACUACAUACUGUGUGCAUACUGUUACUGCAUACUGUGUGCAUUCUGUUACUACAUACUGUGUGCAUACUGUUACUACAUACUGUGUACAUACUGUUACUGCAUACUGUUACUACAUACUGUGUGCAUACUGUUACUGCAUACUGUGUGCAGACAGUUACUGCAUACUGUUACUGCAGACAGUUACUGCAUACUGUUACUGCAGACAGUUACUGCAUACUGUUACUGCAGACAGUUACUGCAUACUGUUACUGCAGACAGUUACUGCAUACUGUUACUGCAUACUGUUACUACAUACUGUGUGCAGACAGUUACUGCAUACUGUUACUGCAUACUGUUACUGCAUACUGUUACUGCAUACUGUUACUACAUACUGUGUGCAGACAGUUACUGCAUACUGUUACUGCAUACUGUGUGCAUACUGUUACUGCAUACUGUGUGCAUACUGUUACUGCAUACUGUGUGCAUACUGUUACUACAUACUGUGUGCAUACUGUUACUGCAUACUGUUACUGCAUACUGUGUGCAUACUGUUACUGCAUACUGUUACUACAUACUGUGUGCAUACUGUUACUGCAUACUGUUACUACAUACUGUGUGCAUACUGUUACUGCAUACUGUUACUACAUACUGUGUGCAGACAGUUACUGCAUACUGUGUGCAUACUGUUACUGCAUACUGUUACUACAUACUGUGUGCAGACAGUUACUGCAUACUGUGUGCAUACUGUUACUGCAUACUGUUACUACAUACUGUGUGCAGACAGUUACUGCAUACUGUGUGCAUACUGUUACUGCAUACUGUUACUACAUACUGUGUGCAGACAGUUACUGCAUACUGUUACUACAUACUGUGUGCAUACUGUUACUGCAUACUGUUACUACAUACUGUGUGCAUACUGUUACUGCAUACUGUUACUACAUACUGUGUGCAAACUGUUACUGCAUACUGUUACUGCACACUGUUACUACAUACUGUGUGCAUACAGUUACUGCAUACUGUGUGCAUACUGUUACUGCAUACUGUUACUGCAUACUGUGUGCAGACUGUUACUGCAUACUGUUACUGCAUACUGUGUGCAUACUGUUACUGCAUACUGUGUGCAUACUGUUACUGCAUACUGUUACUACAUACUGUGUGCAUACUGUUACUACAUACUGUUACUGCAUACUGUUACUACAUACUGUGUGCAUACUGUUACUGCAUACUGUUACUGCAUACUGUUACUACAUACUGUUACUACAUACUGUUACUACAUACUGUUACUGCAUACUGUUACUACAUACUGUGUGCAGACAGUUACUACAUACUGUUACUGCAUACUGUUACUGCAUACUGUUACUGCAUACUGUUACUACAUACCGUGUGCAUACUGUUACUGCAUACUGUUACUGCAUACUGUUACUACAUACGGUGUGCAGACUGUUACUACAUACUGUGUGCAUACUGUUAUUACAUACUGUGUGCAGACUGUUACUGCAUACUGUGUGCAUACUGUUACUGCAUACUGUUACUGCAUACUAUGUGCAUACUGUUACUACAUACUGUGUGCAUACUGUUACUGCAUACUGUGUGCAUACUGUUACUACAUACUGUGUGCAUACUGUUACUACAUACUGUGUGCAUACUGUUACUGCAUACUGUGUGCAUACUGUUACUGCAUACUGUGUGCAUACUGUUACUACAUACUGUGUGCAUACUGUUACUGCAUACUGUGUGCAUACUGUUACUACAUACUGUUACUACAUACUGUGACUGCAUACUGUUACUGCAUACUGUGUGCAUACUGUUACUGCAUACUGUUACUGCAUACUGUUACUACAUACUGUGUGCAUACUGUUACUACAUACUGUGUGCAUACUGUUACUGCAUACUGUGUGCAUACUGUUACUACAUACUGUGUGCAUACUGUUACUACAUACUGUGUGCAUACUGUUACUACAUACUGUGUGCAUUCUGUUACUGCAUACUGUGUGCAAGACUGUUCCCUCCCCAUCAGAACAGUACUGCACACUGUCAAUUCACCAUCAGCAAAGCAAUAUCAUCACUCCCCACACCUUGAAAACACUUGAUAUGUACAUGUAUGAAAUAAACAGCUGAUAUAAUUGUGUGAUCAAAACUAAAGGAACUGAUGUCUUGAUAAAAGUCAAGUAGAGAACAAAGAUAUGUGUGUGUCUGUUUGAAAACAACACUUCAGGAUGAACUGCUAAUUUAGUAGAGGAAUCACAUGUUUUAUUGGACAUGAUGAUGAUGAUGAUGCUAUUUUAGACUGUCUAAGUCAUUCACUCCAGAGGUCGAUCUUUGUUGUGAUGAGAUGUUCAACUCUCUGCUGUAUGGAUCGUUCACUCCAGAGGUAGAUCUUUGUUGUGAUGAGAUGUUCAACUCUCUGCUGUAUGGAUCGUUCACUCCAGAGGUAGAUCUUUGUUGUGAUGAGAUGUUCAACUCUCUGCUGUAUGGAUCGUUCACUCCAGACGUAGAUCUUUGUUGUGAUGAGAUGUUCAACUCUCUGCUGUAUGGAUCGUUCACUCCAGACGUCGAUCUUUGUUCUGAUGAGAUGUUCAACUCUCUGCUGUAAAGGGCCUCAGCUCCUACUCGUGUUUAUAAGGCUCCUGUCACGAACGACCGCUUUACCUUCUAUUUACUUGAUGUGGAUGUUACUGGUUGUUUUACUGUGUUAUGUAGUGUUUUAACACCACUCUGAACCACACACUGAGUCGCCUGGUUUGUGCUCUGAACAACAGUCAUUGUCAAGCUAAACGUAAAAAAAGCACAAACAGACUGUGACUCAGGCUAGAAUCUGAGUGCCCGCUACAGAGCAGUCUGUAUCUGUAAUCUGAGGGCCCACUACAGAGCAGUCUGUAUCUGUAAUCUGAGGGCCCACUACAGAGCAGUCUGUAUCUGUAAUCUGAGGGCCCACUACA
ensembl:lncRNA